GAAAGAUAGAAAGACCUUCUGAAAGAGGGUUAAACAGUACGUGAAAUUGUUGAAAGGGAAGCGCUUGUGACCAGACUUGGGCGCGGCGGAUCAUCCGGGGUUCUCUCCGGUGCACUUCGCCGCGUUCAGGCCAGCAUCAGUUCGUCGCGGGGGAAAAAGGCUUCGGGAACGUGGCUCCUCCGGGAGUGUUAUAGCCCGUUGCAUAAUACCCUGCGGUGGACUGAGGACCGCGCAUCUGCAAGGAUGCUGGCGUAAUGGUCACCAGCGACCCGUCUUGAAACACGGACCAAGA
rnacentral:rRNA from 1 species